rnacentral:sRNA from 2 species
AACCCUCACACGCAGAAAGGCUUGGACAGCGGCGGGGGACCCACCGCAGUUCGGAUGUUCACCCACAUCCUUGGGGUCAAGCCGGAACCGUCAUGACGGCGCCGGCCGGGCGAUACCCCACGUCCACCGCGGCACCACGCGCGGCGGCACGCCCGAACCCGACAGCUCACCUCGCAGGCGCAGCAAGGGGAACA